UUAUUUAUUUAUAAUCUAUUUUAUUUUAUGAACCUUCUCAAAACAUUUUUAUUUGCUUUUCUUAGUUCUGGAAUUGUAUUUUAUUUUGGCGGAGAACCUUUUAUUUUUUUGUUUCCUGUUUCUGCGCUAUAUCCUGUGUGUUCCCGCUGCCCUCCUCAGUUCGCGCCAAGCUGCGCUGAGGAGAGGGUGUUUGGGGAAAUCCGGAGCCCAGGAGCCUCAGUAUUUAAAAUGUUCUUGUUUUGAACAGGUAUGUGUGUCGUUUCUUAAAUUAAUUUAUUUAGUAUAUUUCUAUGUUAUGGUGGAAAAUUGUAAUUAUUUCUUUAUUAUUAUUUCUGUUUAGGUUUUAUUUUAAUUGUUUUGUAUGACUGUAGAUUUAUUUUAUUAUUGAAUCAGAGAAUUUUAGUUUUGUUUAAUGCAUUUCUGUGUGAGUUCGCGCCAAGCUGCGCUGAGGAGAGGGUGUUUGGGGAAAUCCGGAGCCCAGGAGCCUCAGUAUUUAAAAUGUUCUUGUUUUGAACAGGAAUAAAACAACGCAGAGUUGA